rnacentral:rRNA from 1 species
UACGAAGGGGGCUAGCGUUGCUCGGAAUCACUGGGCGUAAAGCGCACGUAGGCGGCUUCUUAAGUCAGGGGUGAAAUCCUGGAGCUCAACUCCAGAACUGCCUUUGAUACUGGGUAUCUUGAGUAUGGAAGAGGUGAGUGGAAUUCCGAGUGUAGAGGUGAAAUUCGUAGAUAUUCGCAAGAACACCAGUGGCGAAGGCGGCUCACUGGCCCGAUACUGACGCUGAGGCACGAAAGCGUGGGGAGCAAACAGG